rnacentral:lncRNA from 1 species
GAGGAGGCAGCUCCCUGGGACCCACUUACCCUCCAGUGGAGGUGACCAAGUCCUCCACACCACAUGCUGCCUGAGGGGCCCUGUGGUGUGGUGAACCACGGCUGUGGGAGUCCCAGGCUGAGUGGUUUCCCGGUAAGCCUGGAAACAGAAGCAUCCCCGAGCUCGGAGCCCUCAGAGCUCAUCGGGGACAAGCCCACCCAGUGGGAAGUCCUCCACACACUUCAGAGACGGAGUCUGACCACCGUCAAGUUGGCUCUUCCCACGCCCCGCCAGCCCUGAUGCUCGAAAGUGGUCUCCCGGAAAGACAGCACAUUGGCCACGUUAUGGCCUUGGGGCCACCCCAAGGGAGACUUAACUGUCCCUUCAGGUUGGUUGCUUAGCAAGUGGCAGAUGCUCCUCCUGGCCCCACAAAUAUCGAUGAAGGGCCCACCCUGUGCCAGGCACUGUUGUGGGCACUCAGACACCUCUGUGAACAAAAGAAACAAAUCUCUGGCCCCAUGGACCUAGCCUUCCCAAGGAUGGGCCUGCUUAGGACUGAGCCCCUUGGUCUCCUCAUCGGAGCAGCAGGGAGGAAAGCCCACCUCACUGCCAGGACCAAGUGGGGCGGAGCCAAGUGGGGCAGAGGACCAGGAGCAAUGUCAUCCAUCUACUUUUGAUUCCACCUGCCGUCCCACCUCAGUCGGCGUCUGCUCCCCAGGCACUCAGGGGCCCAUCUGCCUCUUCUCAGGAUUCUCCCUCUUGGCCACUCUGAGUCCUAAGAAGGUGUCCUCCUCCUCCACACCAUGACCUUGUUCUCAGUAAGGUCACAAGACAGCUUCUUGCCUAUGAGAGAGGAACGUCUUGGACAGCACAGGUGUCCAGAAGUCCAUGUGGCUUUAUCAGCGACUACUGCAGGGGACCAGCUAGGCGGCCAUCCGGCCAUCCAUUGCCUCCAUGGACAGAGCCACCGCCCUUCCCUUAAUCAUACCUGUCUCUUUCCCAGUGCCCCCACUAGCUCUGUCCUGGGGAGGGAAAGAAAGUAGAAGGAGCCUUCUGAGUGGGGGUGUGGCUUGAAACCCCAGGGGGCUCUUCCAUCAGGGGUGUGUCUUUCCUGGACCCCAGCCAGGAGAGACACACUCAGAGCAUGAAUGACACCCCAGCA